UACGUAGGCAGCAAGCGUUGUUCGGAAUUACUGGGCGUAAAGAGUGUGUAGGCGGUGCUCUAAGUCUGUUGUGAAAUCUCCCGGCUUAACCGGGGAACUGCGUCUGAUACUGGAUGGCUUGAGGUUGGGAGAGGGAUGCGGAAUUCCAGGUGUAGCGGUGAAAUGCGUAGAUAUCUGGAGGAACACCGGUGGCGAAGGCGGCGAUCCUGGACCAA
rnacentral:rRNA from 1 species